rnacentral:lncRNA from 1 species
UUGGGAUCAGUCUAGACCAAGAGAUGGAAAACCUAAAAGCUUCCAAACAUGUGUCUGCCAUAAGUUGAAUGUCUUCCUGCACAUUUAGAUUCAGUCAAGCUGGAGCAAGUUACUUUAAUUUGGGAUGUACUCUAGUUAACUAGCACCACUUAUUGACCAAUGAAAUCUACUCAUAUUAUAAAAAGAAAACUUUACAUUAACCUAAAACCCCUGACUCUAUAUAUAUAGAUAUAUUCACAGAAUCCACCCUAUUUUUCAUUUUAUAUACUAAACGGGUCAACCUGUGAGCCUGAUGGGUUUAACCCGAACCUGAUAAAUUCGCAUUCGUUUCGUGUCGUGUUUUCAGGUCGAGUCAAAAAUUCACACCCCUACCUAAAAUCCUAAUUCGCCAGGUGAAACCCAGUUUAGAGGUUUUCGCCCAUCAACCACUACCAUCCCGACACUAACCUGUAAUAGAAACUUCCCAAAUGAGAUUCACCUAUGUUAUGCCACCUGCUGCCAAUCAAAUAAACUAAUUUCAUGUUAACGAAGUUUUUUCUGAAGAAGAUGAUAGUGGCGGCUAAAACGACAGGCAUACAAGGACAAUAGCAAGGUUAUGCCCCAAUCGACUUUAUAUGCAAUCAAAUUGUAGCUGAAUAUCGCUAAUUUCUUGAAGAGAUUUCUUGAAGAGUUGGCUCUCUAAUAUGGUUCUUCCUCUUUCUGCAUCUAGAUAAACAAUUCUGGUUUUGCCCUAAAAGCAUUUUUUACAAGGGAAGCGUAUGACAAUUUUGGGUAGUGGGGAUUAACAGAACUGGGAACUGCCUGUAACUUCUGCAUUUUAGGAUAUAG